GUGCCAGCCGCCGCGGUACUACCGGCAGCCCAAGUGAUGGCCGAUCUUAUUGGGCCUAAAGCGUCCGUAGCUGGCUGCGCAAGUCCGUCGGGAAAUCCACUCGCCCAACGAGUGGGCGUCCGGUGGAAACUCCACACCUUGGGACCGGAAGGCUCGAAGGGUACGGCCGGGGUAGGAGUGAAAUCCCGUAAUCCUGGACGGACCGCCGAUGGCGAAAGCACGUCGCGAAGACGGAUCCGACAGUGAGGGACGAAAGCUAGGGUCUCGAACCGGAUUAGAAACCCGAGUAGUCC
rnacentral:rRNA from 1 species